UCAAGUGUGGGUACCAUUGUCUGGAAGAUGUUGAAUCAGCUGCAGACCAUCCUGAGAUAGGAAGUCAGACAUCAAGGAAGAGGUCCUGCUACCCUGAGACAACACACACUGGAGAAGCAACACCCAGCCAUAGCCAGUCUCCAGCGCAGCCCCGUGAGUGACCCUCUGGGGCGCCUUGGCCAGCUAGCCCCACCUGACAUCUGGACUGCAACUGCAUCCGAGUCCCAGAAGUGGAUUUCCUGAAGGAAAAAUCAGGCGGCAAGCAAAGUGCUGUUAGCACAGGAAUUGACCAAGGACGGAGCCACGCAUUUUGCAACUGGUUCUGGAAUCCAUCUCCAUGUAGAUCAAGGUCUACUUCCCUCUGUGUCCCCAGGGUUUUCCUGACUCAUCUUGCAGAUCAAACUGGUUCCUGGGAGCCUGAGGUGUAUUGUGAAGGACAGAGAAGGAUGUGUUUAGGAGAGGUGUCAGCCCCACAUACAGAAAAAGUUACUUAGCAUUGGCAAGUUUUCUUCACUGCUUGGCAAGCUUUCCUCCUUUUCCUUAUUUAUCUAUGCUGUUUUUUUCCCCAGGUAUGUUUCUAAUGCUCAGAGAAGUUACCGGUGGUUUCCUGCUCUGUUUUCUCAUCAGUUUUCUCAUUUCUUUCUCAUUCGUUUCAUCUCCCGUUUCUGUUCUCUAAGGCAGUAAGAUGACUGUCUGGUCUCUUCUUGGCUCUCAUAAAGCCUCAUUAAUUUGAAGAGACUGCUACGUUGCAAAUAGGGAGGCCUCUUGAGAAUGAUUGUUGGGUGGGCAAACAGUGGUGUGUGCUGCAGGAAAUUGACGAAUUGGAGCCUGAUGAUAUUGUUAUAGACCAAGGGAAUGCCAAGAGGAAGGCAAGCCAGGAAUUCUCAUCUGAGAAGGCUGCAUUUGUGUUGAAAUACCAGUAAUCAACUAAAUAGGCCUCAAGACUAUUUAUAUUUGUGGAAAUUCUUCUGUAAAUAAAGCAAAAAGUAUAUUCA
rnacentral:lncRNA from 1 species